CGGGUGAGUAACGCGUGGGUAACCUGCCUCAUACAGGGGGAUAACGAUUGAAACGAUUGCUAAUACCGCAUAAGCGCACAGUACCACAUGGUACAGUGUGAAAAACUCCGGUGGUAUGAGAUGGACCCGCGUCUGAUUAGCUAGUUGGUGAGGUAACGGCCCACCAAGGCAACGAUCAGUAGCCGACCUGAGAGGGUGACCGGCCACAUUGGGACUGAGACACGGCCCAG
rnacentral:rRNA from 1 species